AGAGUUGGCUGGACAGUCGCCUGGCUAUUCAUAGUCAGGAGGAAAGUCCGGGCUCCACAGGACAGAGUGCCAGGUAAUCCCUGGGAGGCGUGAGCCUACGGAAAGUGCAGCAGAAAAUAUACCGCCUUUCAAAGGGGGCAGACUUGAUUGAUUAGCUGCAACCUCUAAAUCAAUCAAGUCUGCCCCCUUUGGUGGGUAAGGGUGAAAUGGUGCGGUAAGAGCGCACCGCGCGGGUGGCAACAUUCCGUGGCAAGGUAAACCCCACUCGGAGCAAGACCAAAUAGG
rnacentral:RNase_P_RNA from 1 species